GAUGAACGCUGGCGGCGUGCCUAAUACAUGCAAGUCGAGCGAAUGGAUUAAGAGCUUGCUCUUAUGAAGUUAGCGGCGGACGGGUGAGUAACACGUGGGUAACCUGCCCAUAAGACUGGGAUAACUCCGGGAAACCGGGGCUAAUACCGGAUAACAUUUUGAACCGCAUGGUUCGAGAUUGAAAGGCGGCUUCGGCUGUCACUAAUGGAUGGACCCGCGUGGCAUUAGCUAGUUGGUGAGGUAACGGCUCACCAAGGCAACGAUGCGUAGCCGACCGGAGAGGGUGAUCGGCCACACUGGGACUGAGACACGGCCCAGACUCCUACGGGAGGCAGCAGUAGGGAAUCUUCCGCAAUGGACGAAAGUCUGACGGAGCAACGCCGCGUGAGUGAUGAAGGCUUUCGGGUCGUAAAACUCUGUUGUUAGGGAAGAACAAGUGCUAGUUGAAUAAGCUGACACCUUGACGGUACCUAACCAGAAAGCCACGGCUAACUACGUGCCAGCCGCCGCGGUAA
rnacentral:rRNA from 1 species